rnacentral:tRNA from 1 species
AGUAAAGUCAGCUAAUAAAGCUAUUGGGCCCAUACCCCAAAAAUGACGGUUUAAACCCCUCCUCUGCUA